GAAAUUGUAAGAAAAACUUGGAAAUUUUUAUUGAAACUUUGGAGGAUGUUUAUUUAGUGAAUUAUCUAUUAGUUUAUCACAAAAAAUUGGAAGGAAAUGCAUUGCAUGAUGGAUUUAACUUAUUUAAGUUGAUUAUAUAGCGAGCUGACAAACACUGUGAGUGUAUGAGUGUAGAAAAUAUGUAGUAAUUAAUGAAAGAAGAUUAAACACA
rnacentral:lncRNA from 1 species